AUAAACCGUCAGCUUUAUAAAUCCGGAGAUACGGAAACUAGAGUUCCCCG
rnacentral:sRNA from 1 species